rnacentral:rRNA from 1 species
CCCCAGGCGGGGUACUUAUUGUGUUAACGGCGGCACAGGGGGAGUCGAUACCCCCUACACCUAGUACCCAUCGUUUACGGCGUGGACUACCAGGGUAUCUAAUCCUGUUUGCUCCCCACGCUUUCGAGCCUCAGCGUCAGUUAUUGUCCAGAAAGUCGCCUUCGCCACUGGUGUUCUUCCUAAUCUCUACGCAUUUCACCGCUACACUAGGAAUUCCACUUUCCUCUCCAACACUCUAGACACCCAGUUUGGAAUGCAGCACCCAAGUUAAGCCCAGGUAUUUCACAUCCCACUUAAGUAUCCGCCUACGCUCCCUUUACGCCCAGUAAAUCCGGACAACGCUUGCCACCUACGUAUUACCGCGGCUGCUGGCACGUAGUUAGCCGUGGCUUCCUCCUCAGGUACCGUCAUUAUCGUCCCUGAAGACAGAGCUUUACAACCCGAAGGCCUUCAUCACUCACGCGGCGUUGCUGCAUCAGGGUUUCCCC